rnacentral:misc_RNA from 1 species
ACAAAUCCCCGAUACUCAAACUCAACAUGAAUAGUCUCUGCCAACUGAGCUAAUUUCCAGCCCACUUCUUGAAGAUGAUCAGAGUUAUCAUGAGACGGCGGUCCAAUCCCCGUUAAGCGAAAAGCCGGCGGACCACCAGGUCUGAGCGCGAGAGCUUGCAACAAGGCAGGCCACUGCAUCCCUUGAUUCAUGGAAAAGUCGAUAACGUGCACUCGUUUUUUCCC